rnacentral:rRNA from 1 species
CCUGACUGCUAUCGGAUUGAUACUAACCCAUGCGAGUCUUUGCAGUAAUGCAAGGCAUACGGCUCAGUAACACGUAGUCAACUUACCCUAUGGACGAGGAUAAUCUCGGGAAAUUGAGCAUAAUACUCGAUAGAUCAUAAUGCCUGGAAUGGUUUAUGGUUGAAAUGAUUCGUCGCCAUAGGAUGGGACUGCGGCCUAUCAGCUUGUUGGUGAGGUAAUGGCCACCAAGGCGAUUACAGGUACGGGCUCUGAGAGGAGAAGCCCGGAGAUGGGUACUGAGACAAGGACCCAGGCCCUAUGGGGCGCAGCAGGCGAGAAAACUUUGCAAUGUGCGAAAGCACGACAAGGUUAAUCCGAGUGAUUUCUGCUAAAGAAAUCUUUUGCAAGUCAUAAAACCACUAGUGAAUAAGGGGUGGGCAAGUUCUGGUGUCAGCCGCCGCGGUAAAACCAGCACCUCAAGUGGUCAGGAGGAUUAUUGGGCCUAAAGCAUCCGUAGCCGGCUCUGUAAGUUUUCGGUUAAAUCCAUGUGCUCAACGCAUGGGCUGCCGAAAAUACUGCAUAGCUAGGGAGUGGGAGAGGUAGACGGUACUCGGUAGGAAGGGGUAAAAUCCUUUGAUCUAUCGAUGACCACCUGUGGCGAAGGCGGUCUACCAGAACACGUUCGACGGUGGGGGAUGAAAGCUGGGGGAGCAAACCGGAUUAGAUACCCGGGUAGUCCCAGCUGUAAACGAUGCAGACUCGAUGAUGCAUUGGCAUAUAGCCAGUGCAGUGUCGCAGGGAAGCCGUUAAGUCUGCCGCCUGGGAAGUACGUACGCAAGUAUGAAACUUAAAGGAAUUGGCGGGGGAGCACCACAAGGGGUGAAGCCUGCGGUUC